rnacentral:tRNA from 1 species
GGAGAGUACAGCUCAGUGGUAGAGCGCAUGCCUACUAUGCAUGAAGUCCUGUGUUCAAUCCCUAGUACCUCUG